GUGAAGCCUUCCUGGACCACCAGAGAUGUGGCACUUACAGUGCACCGGGCUUUCAGGAUGAUUGGUCUCUUUUCUCAUGGAUUCUUGGCUGGCUGUGCUGUGUGGAAUAUUGUUGUGAUAUAUGUUCUAGCAGGAGAUCAGCUAUCCAACCUCUCAAACCUUCUGCAACAAUACAAGACCCUAGCGUAUCCAUUCCAGAGUCUUCUGUACUUGCUUUUGGCUCUGAGUACAAUUUCAGCUUUUGACAGGAUUGACUUUGCUAAAAUAUCAGUAGCAAUCCGAAAUUUUUUGGCCCUGGAUCCUACAGCUUUAGCAUCUUUCUUGUACUUUACUGCUCUUAUACUAUCUCUGAGUCAGCAAAUGACAAGUGACAGAAUCCACCUUUACACACCUUCUUCUGUUAAUGGUAGCCUCUGGGAAGCAGGAAUUGAGGAACAGAUUCUCCAGCCAUGGAUUGUGGUGAAUCUCGUGGUGGCUCUUCUGGUUGGAUUAUCUUGGCUAUUUUUGUCUUAUAGGCCAGGCAUGGAUCUUAGUGAAGAGUUAAUGUUCUCCUCAGAGGUGGAAGAAUAUCCUGAUAAAGAGAAAGAAAUCAAAGCCUCUUCAUAAUACCAGCUCACCUUUGGAGGAAUAAUGACCCAGUAUUUGUCCCAUUUUUGUUUUUAAAUGUAUUUUUAUAAGAUGUAUACAUGUGUAUUUGUAAUAGAUUUUUUGAUUAUAUAAUACUGAAACAUC
rnacentral:lncRNA from 1 species